AGAGACAGUCAGAGGUCCUGAUGACCUCUAUACUGUCAGCAGCAGAGUGACUGUGGAGAAGAGACACAGCAACAGCUUCACCUGUAGAGUCCAACAGAAGGACGUCAACCAGACCAGAGAGACUCACAUCCAGGUUCCAGAUGAUUUCUUUGAGGUCCAGUCCAGUUUGUCCUCCAUCACGGUUGGAUUGGCUGUUUGUUUGGCUGCUUGCAUCAUGAUCAUUCUGUUACUUAUCUUUUCUGUGUGGAAAUGGAGACAGAACAUAAUCAACUGCAAGAGAAGCCACAGGGAUGAAACUGAUGACGGAGAACAGAAUGACCGCUUUAAAAGUAACAAAACUGAAGUUCAGGUUAACACUGGAGCAGAAAGAGAGCAGCUCAUGACAGAUGAAACAGUGCCAACGAAGGAUGUGAAGAACAGAGAAGGGGAAAGGGAGAA